AGCAGUCGCCGCGGGAAUACGUAGGGUGCGAGCGUUAAUCGGAAUUACUGGGCGUAAAGCGUGCGCAGGCGGUGCUGCAAGACCGAUGUGAAAGCCCCGGGCUUAACCUGGGAACUGCAUUGGUGACUGCAGCGCUGGAGUAUGGCAGAGGGGGGUGGAAUUCCACGUGUAGCAGUGAAAUGCGUAGAGAUGUGGAGGAACACCGAUGGCGAAGGCAGCCCCCUGGGCCAAUACUGACGCUCAUGCACGAAAGCGUGGGGAGCAAACAGGAUUAGAUACCCCCGUAGUCCCUGUCUCUUAUAC
rnacentral:rRNA from 1 species